GGCUCAGAACGAACGCUGGCGGCAGGCUUAACACAUGCAAGUCGAGCGCCCCGCAAGGGGAGCGGCAGACGGGUGAGUAACGCGUGGGAAUCUACCCUUUUCUACGGAAUAACGCAGGGAAACUUGUGCUAAUACCGUAUGAGCCCUUCGGGGGAAAGAUUUAUCGGGAAAGGAUGAGCCCGCGUUGGAUUAGCUAGUUGGUGGGGUAAAGGCCUACCAAGGCGACGAUCCAUAGCUGGUCUGAGAGGAUGAUCAGCCACAUUGGGACUGAGACACGGCCCAAACUCCUACGGGAGGCAGCAGUGGGGAAUAUUGGACAAUGGGCGCAAGCCUGAUCCAGCCAUGCCGCGUGAGUGAUGAAGGCCCUAGGGUUGUAAAGCUCUUUCACCGGUGAAGAUAAU
rnacentral:rRNA from 1 species